rnacentral:tRNA from 1 species
CCUUAUACGAAUGAUUAUUGCGAUGAGUGUUCACACAGAUUGAUACGGUUUAAAUGUGAAGAGUAUCUUAGUGUCCCGUUCGUCUAGAGGCCUAGGACACCGCCCUUUCACGGCGGUAACAGGGGUUCGACUCCCCUACGGGAUACCACGGGUCGUUAGCUCAGUUGGUAGAGCAGUUGACUUUUAAUCAAUUGGUCGCAGGUUCGAAUCCUGCACGACCCACCAUUUCCUGCCACAGGAAAUCAAAUAAUGUGGGCGAUUAGCUCAGUUGGGAGAGCACCUGCCUUACAAGCAGGGGGUCACUGGUUCGAACCCGGUAUCGCCCACCACUCUCUAAGAAUUUUUGGAUAGGAUAGCCAAACCACUUCAGUAAAACGGGUGUGGUUCGGAUUUCUGACGCUGAGAAUCCUUAGAAAGUGUUUCUUUCGAUAGAAAGUGGCAUAGCUCUUUAACAAUUUGGAAAGCUGACAAAACAACAAUUUAAUGUUGUUUGUAAAGUUCUCAAUGUAUUCCUGAAUGGAAUACACCAACAAACACAUUCAAGUGUGCUUGGUAUCGAAGCUUACUGAUUCAGUAAGUCUUCAAAUUGAGUCCGGCAAAAUCAGUCACACACUCAUGAAAAAUAAAUGUGUGACACCUAGGUUGUUUAACAGCAACCCGAAACUCCUUCGGGUUGUAU